rnacentral:rRNA from 1 species
GUCUUCGAGUCGUUGAUUUCACACUGCCGAGAAAAGCCUCUAGAUAGAAAAUAGGUGCCCGUACCGCAAACCGACACAGGUAGUCAAGAUGAGAAUUCUAAGGUGAGCGAGCGAACUCUCGUUAAGGAACUCGGCAAAAUGACCCCGUAACUUCGGGAGAAGGGGUGCUCUUUAGGGUUAACGCCCAGAAGAGCCGCAGUGAAUAGGCCCAAGCGACUGUUUAUCAAAAACACAGGUCUCUGCUAAACCGUAAGGUGAUGUAUAGGGGCUGACGCCUGCCCGGUGCUGGAAGGUUAAGAGGAGUGGUUAGCUUCUGCGAAGCUACGAAUCGAAGCCCCAGUAAACGGCGGCCGUAACUAUAACGGUCCUAAGGUAGCGAAAUUCCUUGUCGGGUAAGUUCCGACCCGCACGAAAGGCGUAACGAUUUGGGCACUGUCUCAACGAGAGACUCGGUGAAAUCAUAGUACCUGUGAAGAUGCAGGUUACCCGCGACAGGACGGAAAGACCCCGUGGAGCUUUACUGUAGCCUGAUAUUGAAAUUCGGCACAGCUUGUACAGGAUAGGUAGGAGCCUUUGAAACGUGAGCGCUAGCUUACGUGGAGGCGCUGGUGGGAUACUACCCUAGCUGUGUUGGCUUUCUAACCCGCACCACUUAUCGUGGUGGGAGACAGUGUCAGGCGGGCAGUUUGACUGGGGCGGUCGCCUCCUAAAAGGUAACGGAGGCGCUCAAAGGUUCCCUCAGAAUGGUUGGAAAUCAUUCAUAGAGUGUAAAGGCAUAAGGGAGCUUGACUGCGAGACCUACAAGUCGAGCAGGGUCGAAAGACGGACUUAGUGAUCCGGUGGUUCCGCAUGGAAGGGCCAUCGCUCAACGGAUAAAAGCUACCCCGGGGAUAACAGGCUUAUCUCCCCCAAGAGUUCACAUCGACGGGGAGGUUUGGCACCUCGAUGUCGGCUCAUCGCAUCCUGGGGCUGUAGUCGGUCCCAAGGGUUGGGCUGUUCGCCCAUUAAAGCGGUACGCGAGCUGGGUUCAGAACGUCGUGAGACAGUUCGGUCCCUAUCCGUCGUGGGCGUAGGAAAUUUGAGAGGAGCUGUCCUUAGUACGAGAGGACCGGGAUGGACAUACCUCUGGUGUACCAGUUGUCGUGCCAACGGCAUAGCUGGGUAGCUAUGUGUGGACGGGAUAAGUGCUGAAAGCAUCUAAGCAUGAAGCCCCCCUCAAGAUGAGAUUUCCCAACUUCGGUUAUAAGAUCCCUCAAAGAUGAUGAGGUUAAUAGGUUCGAGGUGGAAGCAUGGUGACAUGUGGAGCUGACGAAUACUAAUCGAUCGAAGACUUAAU